rnacentral:rRNA from 1 species
AACGAACGCUGGCGGCGCGCCUAAUACAUGCAAGUCGAGCGAGAAGACGUAGCAAUACGUUUGUAAAGCGGCGGACGGGUGAGGAAUACAUGGGUAACCUACCCUCGAGUGGGGAAGUAACUAGCCGAAGGUUAGCUAAUACCGCGUACGCUUCUUGGACUUCGGUUUCAGGGAGGAAAGCGAUACCGUGGGUAUCGCGCUCUUGGAUGGGCUCAUGUCCUAUCAGCUUGUUGGGAGGUAACGGCUCACCAAGGCUUCGACGGGUAGCUGGUCUGAGAGGACGAUCAGCCACACUGGCACUGCGACACGGGCCAGACUCCUACGGGAGGCAGCAGUAAGGAAUAUUGCGCAAUGGGCGAAAGCCUGACGCAGCGACGCCGCGUGGGGGAG